UUAAGUUCAGCGGGUAUCCCUACCUGAUCCGAGGUCAACCAUAAAAAAUUGGGGGUUGCUGGCAAGCACGCACCGAGACCCAGACGCGAGGUGUAUUACUACGCGUAGAGCUCAAUGGCACCGCCACCGAUUAGCAAGCCGUCGUCCGGCAGAGCCCAAGACCAAGCUAGGCUUGAGGGUUGAAAUGACGCUCGAACAGG
rnacentral:misc_RNA from 1 species